rnacentral:rRNA from 1 species
AGGCUUAACACAUGCAAGUCGAGGGGCAGCAUGGUCUUAGCUUGCUAAGGCCGAUGGCGACCGGCGCACGGGUGAGUAACGCGUAUCCAACCUGCCUUACACUCUUGGAUAGCCUUCUGAAAGGGAGAUUAAUACAAGAUGUUAUCAUGAGUAAGCAUUUUCACAUGAUUAAAGGUUUACCGGUGUAAGAUGGGGAUGCGUUCCAUUAGAUAGUAGGCGGGGUAACGGCCCACCUAGUCUUCGAUGGAUAGGGGUUCUGAGAGGAAGGUCCCCCACAUUGGAACUGAGACACGGUCCAAACUCCUACGGGAGGCAGCAGUGAGGAAUAUUGGUCAAUGGACGAGAGUCUGAACCAGCCAAGUAGCGUGAAGGAUGAAGGUUCUAUGGAUUGUAAACUUCUUUUAUACGGGAAUAAACGAAUCCACGUGUGGAUUUUUGCAUGUACCGUAUGAAUAAGGAUCGGCUAACUCCGUGCCAGCAGCCGCGGUAAUACGGAGGAUCCGAGCGUUAUCCGGAUUUAUUGGGUUUAAAGGGAGCGUAGAUGGGUUGUUAAGUCAGUUGCGAAAGUUUGCGGCUCAACCGUAAAAUUGCAGUUGAUACUGGGUGUCUUGAGUACAGUAGAGGCAGGCGGAAUUCGUGGUGUAGCGGUGAAAUGCUUAGAUAUCACGAAGAACUCCGAUUGCGAAGGCAGCCUGCUGGACUGUAACUGACGCUGAUGCUCGAAAGUGUGGGUAUCAAA